UAAAUGGCCGCAGUAACCUGACUGUGCUAAGGUAGCAUAAUCACUUGUAUAAUAAAUUUAUACUGGAAUGAAAGGAAAAAAGUAUACCAACUAUUAAUUAAAAGUUAUCUGAAAUCAUUUUCAAAGUGCAAAAACUUUGCUUAAUAAUAUAAACGAGAAGACCCUAGAAAUUUCAAUAAUUUUAUUGGGACAAUACUAUAACACAAAUAAUGUGAAUCAAAUCCACUAUAAAGAAUAAACAAAAUUACUCUAGGGAUAACAGCAUAAUAGCUAUAAAGAGACCUAAUCUAAGCAGCUGAUUGUGACCUCGAUGUUGAAUCAUUUACUCCAAGUAAAAUCUGCAAAAGGAUUUUACUUCUCGUCUGUUCGACGAUUCCAAAUUACGUGA
rnacentral:rRNA from 1 species